GGGACAUGUAGCACCCGAUCUAUCGACAUCAGACAAUGUAACAAUACUCGACCUAUAGGGAGACAGAGAGAGUGUGGGGGAUGGCCUUCUUGUUCAACUGAUUGCAGUGCUGGAGCCGGAGAUGAGCAAAGGUUGAAUAAUGGGGACGGCAGUCACGGCACAAAGACAUGUAAACAAGAAAAACUUGUAUACAUCUUGGAGCAAAGCAUAAUGAGGAGAAACAGCAUGACUGGGGUCAAUCUGUAAAUCUAAUACUUUCAUUUGGGCAAUUAACAUUGAGUUGGACCCAUCAAAAGAAAGAGAAGAGUAUUGACUACAAAAAUCUCUGAUUUGUGUGUUCUAUCACGGAGGGAGUAAAGAUAUCACGGUUAUCAAACUUGUUUACUUUCUAACAAUAAUUAAGUUAUUUCUAUGGUGUUUAACGAGUUUUUAGUUUC